GGUCUUUGUCCUCCGUGCCAGAUGUGCUGCGGGAAUGGAACCACGUUCCUGGAGAACGUAGGCGGUGGUCGCGUAGCGGAGGCUGGCAGCCGCGAGGAUCCGUCCGUGGACGAUGUUUUCCCCGCAGAUCUCGCCGCGAAUGUGCGCGCGUCUGCAGCAGUGCGCGCCGUUAGAUCCGCCCAAGCAUCUGUCCGUCUCUCCAUUGGCGCAUCCAUCAUCAGUCUCUCUCUGGCGCGCGCACACGCGCACACACACACAUGCACGCGGGCGUACACACGUGCACACACAAGUACGGACAUACACGCGCGCGCGCACGCAGGAUACUACAAUGCCCCCUCCCACCUCGUCGAAAUCCCACGUCACAGUCUCACACACAAAACGCUUUCGGUUUGCUGCAGUGUGACUGACACGUCCGCGCGCACGUUGGCUUGUUUGGCGAGAGAGGGGGAGAGCGAUUUGGUGCGCGCACGCGCACCGGCAAAAGACUCGCGAAUCAAUCAAAAUGGACAAGUUUUGAUUUUGGAUUUUUUUGUUUUCUUUUUGUAUUGAACGGGAACAACAAGCCGCAGCGGCCACUCGCAGGCGACCUGGAUGCCGGAAGACGUCGCAAGUGCUUGGAAGUCAAGACGAAAACAAAGGAGGAAGGAGAGCAAGUUGCGGCCGCUUCCUUUCAGCCGGAAAGUGAACACUCGAGCUUCUGAUCCAGUCAACUAUGGGUCACCCCAAAGAAGACACCUAGCUACAGUCAACGUGGAAUGAUUGCCAUGUGGAAACAAAUUGGCGCUUUGACAUCAAUUUUGGUCGGCAGCAGAGGGCGCUAGAGGGUCAACGGCAAUGGAUGACGCAAUUUCACGCAGAAGCCCGGCACGGCACGUAUGACGGACGGACGGCAAAGGGAAGUUUGCCUUCAGUUGGUAUUCCGGACAAGAGCUCACUGGCUCUUCUUUGUUUGGCAUAUCCCAAGAACAAAUGUUCUCUUUGUGAUGCCAGCGUGAAGAGUUCGCACGGCGCAAAGUGCGACGGCGCGCCGCUGAGUGACUCACGACUUCCUCCGUCGCCGCACUUGGAUUGGGUGCGUGUGUGUGUGUUUUAUGUGCGUGUGUGCGGAAACAUGCUGACAGCUGCAGCUCAUUACAGCUGCUAUUACUGAUGGCGACUGCUGGGGCAAAUUCCUCCGUGCACACAGCAAAGCGCCCUGUUUACCGCACACACACACACACACACACACACACACACACACACAUGCGGGACAGAGACGUAACAUCUGUAAUGCAAACGAGGAAGAAAGGAAACAUUUACAGCGUGAGAAAAAAUGAAUAAAAAAGGAAACAUCACUCAGCCAUGCAGACGCUGUUCGUGUGGCGUGCACGGAAGUACACGCACACACACACGCACGCACACACACACACACAGUACAUACAAAAGAGGAGAUGAGAUCACUCAAGUACUCAAAGGUCUGUUACAACGGCAAAUGUUGAUGUCUCCUUGGCGCACAAACAGACAAACACACAUGCACGCACGCACACACACACACACACACACACACUGAACUAAACUUUUUGUGGUUAAUCAGAGCGACAAAAAGUGGUAUGUGAUUUUUUUAUUUCUAACCCCUGUUAUGCAAGGGUGUGCACAUUUGUGCAAGCAUAAUAUCGCAUCUGUUUAUUGAUUAAUUUCAUCUCGAAAAAAAAUUCAAAAAAUACUCAUUCACAAUAACGGUCAAAAGGUUUUCUCUUCUUUUUUUUUCUUUUUACAGGGGUGUGUAGACUUUUCCUAUGGAGUCUAUAGAAAGAACAGGCCUACGGGUUCUGACAUGUACAAGCGCACACAGAGACAAAAUAUUUUAUUCUCAAACUCUUGUGUUAUUGCUGCCAAUUCUCGCAUGCAUAGCUCUAAUCUCUCUCUCUCUGUCUCUCUCGCUCUCUCCCCCUCUCUCGCUCGCUCUCUCUCUCUCUCUAACGUGCACACAUGCACGUGCACACACAUGCACAGCGUAGCGUGUCCAGUGGCGUUAAUGAGAGAGCUGCGAUCCAGCCUCGCAUGUGCAGGAGCCAUUAAGGAGGAGCUCUUUGCUGCAGCCACCGCAGGCCGCUCGCUGCUCUCCAUUACUGUUACACAUGGGCUACGCUUUUCCGGGGGUCCGCGGGGGGCUCGGGGGACCACCUGGACAAGAGCCCCCAAGGGGAAGCGCAAACACACGCACGGAGCAGAAAGAAGGCGCUUUCCUAAUUUGGUUGCCACUGCAAAUGGCAUUCUCUUCAUCGUCGCAACACGCGCUAAUGCUAACGAGGAAGUCGGGCCAAGUCUGGGAAACGUGUGCACGUUUGGUCAAAUCAUCAAAGGAGGUUGGGGGAGGGAGGAAAUAGUACGACUUGUUGGUUCGGAGAAUCCAACAAGAUGGCGCUCGGCGCCGCCUCGCUGCCGUGCGUCUGUCGUGUUACUAAUUACGCUGUACGUUUUUAUUAAUAAAGCUGCGUCUGCAUUUACGUGGCGGGGCGAGGCUGAUGGCUGGCACGCUUACGGUUUCCCUUUUCCAUACGGACAGCCGGCCAUCCAUCCAUUUUCCUCAUUAGGGCGGCAGGAGUCUAUUUCUUGGUGAGAGAGAGGCGGGCGACAGACAGACAGACAAACAAAAGGAAUGCUCACCAGGUUUCAUUAAAGAAGGGUUAAGGGUCAAGUUAGGUUUCCAGUCGAACGGGAAAGCCUUAACGGGACUAGCCGACGCAUUGAUUUCGGCCACGCCGCAAUGACAAUUAGGGUUUGAGCUUGAUUAUUUGCCAAUGAUGUGUUUUGGUAUUAACUCUGGCAUUUUUUUUCAAUAUGUACCUUAAUAAAUUUAAACACAGUCUGAUUCAUGUUUUUCAAAGCAGGUCUAAAUUGUGACGCUGAUGGUUUUUGGUGGAUUUGAUGAAAAUGCAGGUUGAUGGAUGUGGUGGUGGUUUUUGGAUUGUUUUUCCAUAAAUAUUAGCCUGCAUCAAAGCAUCUGAAUAUUUGUCGAAAUAAAUCUGUUGAACAUGU